rnacentral:rRNA from 1 species
UGCAGUCGAGGGGCAGUUCUGCUUUCGGGCAGAAGCGACCGGCGCACGGGUGCGUAACGCGUAUGCAACCUACCCACAACUGGGGGAUAGCCCGGAGAAAUCCGGAUUAAUACCCCAUAAUGCAUUGAAACCACAUGGUUUUAUUUGCUAAAGAUUUAUUGGUUGUGGAUGGGCAUGCGUCUGAUUAGUUAGUUGGUGAGGUAACGGCUCACCAAGGCAACGAUCAGUAGGGGGUCUGAGAGGAUGAUCCCCCACACUGGUACUGAGAUACGGACCAGACUCCUACGGGAGGCAGCAGUAGGGAAUAUUGGUCAAUGGGCGCAAGCCUGAACCAGCCAUGCCGCGUGCAGGAUGACGGCCUUCUGGGUUGUAAACUGCUUUUAUCAGGGAAGAAAACGGCCAUGCGUGGCAGAUUGACGGUACCUGAAGAAUAAGCACCGGCUAACUCCGUGCCAGCAGCCGCGGUAAUACG